UUGAAUCCUGGCUCAGGACGAACGCUGGCGGCGUGCCUAAUACAUGCAAGUCGAGCGGACAGAAGGAGCUUGCUCCCGGAUGUUAGCGGCGGACGGGUGAGUAACACGUGGGUAACCUGCCUGUAAGACUGGGAUAACUCCGGGAAACCGGAGCUAAUACCGGAUAGUUCCUUGAACCGCAUGGUUCAAGGAUAAAGACGGUUUCGGCUGUCACUUACAGAUGGACCCGCGGCGCAUUAGCUAGUUGGUGGGGUAAUGGCUCACCAAGGCGACGAUGCGUAGCCGACCUGAGAGGGUGAUCGGCCACACUGGGACUGAGAACGGCCCAGACUCCUACGGGAGGCAGCAGUAGGGAAUCUUCCGCAAUGGACGAAAGUCUGACGGAGCAACGCCGCGUGAGUGAUGAAGGUUUUCGGAUCGUAAAGCUCUGUUGUUAGGGAAGAACAAUGCGAGAGUAACUGCUCGCACCUGACGGUACCUAACCAGAAAGCCACGGCUAACUACGUGCCAGCAGCCGCGGUAAUACGUAGGUGGCAAGCGUUGUCCGGAAUUAUUGGGCGUAAAGGGCUCGCAGCGGUUUCUUAAGUCUGAUGUGAAAGCCCCCGGCUCAACCGGGGAGGGUCAUUGGAAACUGGGAAACUUGAGUGCAGAAGAGGAGAGUGGAAUUCCACGUGUAGCGGUGAAAUGCGUAGAGAUGUGGAGAACACCAGUGGCGAAGGCGACUCUCUGGUCUGUAACUGACGCUGAGGAGCGAAAGCGUGGGGAGCGAACAGGAUUAGAUACCCUGGUAGUCCACGCCGUAAACGAUGAGUGCUAAGUGUUAGGGGGUCCGCCCCUUAGUGCUGCAGCUAACGCAUUAAGCACUCCGCCUGGGGAGUACGGUCGCAAGACUGAAACUCAAAGGAAUUGACGGGGGCCCGCACAAGCGGUGGAGCAUGUGGUUUAAUUCGAAGCACGCGAAGAACCUUACCAGGUCUUGACAUCCUCUGACAACCCUAGAGAUAGGGCUUUCCCUUCGGGGACAGAGUGACAGGUGGUGCAUGGUUGUCGUCAGCUCGUGUCGUGAGAUGUUGGGUUAAGUCCGCAACGAGCGCAACCCUUGAUCUUAGUUGCCAGCAUUCAGUUGGGCACUCUAAGGUGACUGCCGGUGACAAACCGGAGGAAGGUGGGGAUGACGUCAAAUCAUCAUGCCCCUUAUGACCUGGGCUA
rnacentral:rRNA from 1 species